rnacentral:tRNA from 14 species
GCCUGGGUGGCGAAAUCGGUAGACGCAGCGGAUUCAAAAUCCGCCGGGGGAAACUCCGUGUCGGUUCGAGUCCGACCCUAGGCACCA